rnacentral:rRNA from 1 species
AGGCAGCAGUGGGGAAUUUUGGACAAUGGGCGCAAGCCUGAUCCAGCCAUGCCGCGUGCGGGAAGAAGGCCUUCGGGUUGUAAACCGCUUUUGUCAGGGAAGAAAGGCUCCGGGCUAAUACCNNGGAGUCAUGACGGUACCUGAAGAAUAAGCGCCGGCUAACUACGUGCCAGCAGCCGCGGUAAUACGUAGGGUGCAAGCGUUGUCCGGAAUUAUUGGGCGUAAAGAGCUUGUAGGCGGUUUGUCGCGUCUGCUGUGAAAUUUCGGGGCUCAACCCCGAACUUGCAGUGGGUACGGGCAGACUAGAGUGUGGUAGGGGAGACUGGAAUUCCUGGUGUAGCGGUGAAAUGCGCAGAUAUCAGGAGGAACACCGAUGGCGAAGGCAGGUCUCUGGGCCACUACUGACGCUGAGAAGCGAAAGCAUGGGGAGCGAACAGGAUUAGAUACCCUGGUAG